rnacentral:tRNA from 1 species
GGAUGGGUGGCCGAGUGGUUGAAGGCGCACGCCUGGAAAGUGUGUUUAGGGGAAACCCUAACGGAGGUUCGAAUCCUCUCCCAUCCGCCA